rnacentral:rRNA from 1 species
UACGUAGGGUGCGAGCGUUAAUCGGAAUUACUGGGCGUAAAGUGUGCGCAGGCGGCCGAGCAAGUCGAGUGUGAAAGCCCCAAGCUUAACUUGGGAACUGCGCUCGAAACUACUUGGCUAGGGUGUGGCAGAGGGAGGUGGAAUUCCACGUGUAGCGGUGAAAUGCGUAGAGAUGUGGAGGAACACCGAUGGCGAAGGCAGCCUCCUGGGCCAACACUGACGCUCAUGCACGAAAGCGUGGGGAGCAAACAGG